rnacentral:lncRNA from 1 species
AUGGUCACUGGUGGUCACUUGAGGUUUCUGAUGGCCACUGGUCACCAAUGGUCACCGAUGGUCACUGGUGAUCAAUGGUCACUCAUGGUCACUCAUGGUCACUGGUGCUCACUGGUCACUGGUGGUCACUUGAGAUUUCUCAUGGCCACUGGUCACCAAUGGUCACUGGUGGUCAAUGGUCACUCAUGGUCAUUCAUGGUCACGGGUAGUCACUGGUCACUGGUGGAUGCUGGUGGUCACUGGUCACUCGUGAUCACUGGUGGUCACUGGUCACUGGUGGUUACUGGUCACUGGUCACUCCUGGUCAAUGCUCACUGGUGGUCACUGGUGGUCAUUCCCAGUCACAGGUGGUCACUGGUGGUCACUGGUGGUCAAUGGUCACUCCUGCUCAAUGCUCACAGUUGGUCACUGGUGGUCACUGGUGGUCACUCCCAGUUCCUGGUGGUCAAUGGUCGCUGGUCACUGUUGGUCACUGGUCACUGUUGGUCACUGUUGGUCGCUGUUGGUCACUGGUGGUCACUGUUGGUCACUCCCGGUCCUUGGUGGUCACUCCUGGUCACUUGUGGUCACUGGUCACUCCUGGUCACUGUUGGUCACUCCUGGUCCCUGCCGGUCCCUCAUUGGCCGUUGCCGGUCCCUCACUGGCCGUUGCCGGUCCCUCAUUGGCCGUUGCCGAUGACGCGGCGGAUCCAGGGCGUGGCCCGGCAGACGUUGCUGUACACGCCGGGGUUCCCGCGCUGCCCGCACACGGCCAGGCCCCAGGAGACCACGCCCUGCAGGUACCCCCCGCACACCAGCGGCCCACCUGAGUCACCCUGCAACAGGUGAGAGACAGGUGAGACACACCUGGGAUACACCUGGGACAGGUGAGAUACACCUGGGAUACACCUGGGACACACCUGGGAUACACCUGGGAUACACCUGGGAUACACCUGGGACUCACCUGGCAGGAGUCGACGCCGCCCUGGGGCACACCUGCACAUACCUGGGCACACCUGCACACACCUGGGGCACACACAUGGCACCCCUGGGGCACACCUGGGACACACCUGCACACACCUGGGAC